rnacentral:rRNA from 1 species
GACGAACGCUGGCGGCGUGCUUCCCUUUGCAAGUCGAACGAUGAAGUUCCUUCGGGAAUGGAUUAGUGGCGAACGGGUGAGGAACACGUGAGGAAUCUGCCCUUCAUUUUGGGAUAACACCGGGAAACCGGUGCUAAUACCGAAUACUCCGUCUUGGCGGCAUCGCUAAGCCGGGAAAGAAUUUCGAUGAUGGAUGAUCUCGCGGCCUAUCAGCUAGUUGGUGAGGUAACGGCUCACCAAGGCAACGACGGGUAGCCGGCCUGAGAGGGCGACCGGCCACACUGGGACUGAAACACGGCCCAAACUCCUACGGGAGGCAGCAGUAGGGAAUAUUGGGCAAUGGGCGCAAGCCUGACCCAGCGACGCCGCGUGAGGGAUGAAGGUCUUCGGAUUGUAAACCUCUUUCAGUAGGGAAGAAGCGAAAGUGACGGUACCUAAAGAAGAAGCACCGGCUAACUAUGUG